UACGUAGGGGCAAGCGUUGUCCGGAAUCAUUGGGCGUAAAGAGCGCGUAGGCGGCCCUGUAAGUCCGCUGUGAAAGUCAAGGGCUCAACCCUUGGAUGCCGGUGGAUACUGCAGGGCUAGAGUCCGGAAGAGGCGAGUGGAAUUCCUGGUGUAGCGGUGAAAUGCGCAGAUAUCAGGAGGAACACCGAUGGCGAAGGCAGCUCGCUGGGACGGUACUGACGCUGGAGGCGCGAAAGCGUGGGGAGCAAACAGG
rnacentral:rRNA from 1 species